rnacentral:rRNA from 1 species
GAUGAACGCUGGCGGCGUGCUUAACACAUGCAAGUCGAACGAUGAAGCCCAGCUCGCUGGGUGGAUUAGUGGCGAACGGGUGAGUAACACGUGAGUAACCUGCCUUUCACUCUGGGAUAAGCAUGGGAAACUGGGUCUAAUACCGGAUAGGAGCUUUCACCGCAUGGUGGGUGUUGGAAAGAUUUAUCGGUUUUGGAUGGACUCGCGGCCUAUCAGCUUGUUGGUGAGGUAAUGGCUCACCAACGGGUCGACGGGGAGCCGGCCUGUGAAGGUGGCCGGCCACACUGGGCCUGCGACACGGCCCAGUCUCCUACGUGAGGCAGCAGUGGGGAUUAUUGCACAAUGGGCGCGAGCCUGAUGCAGCGGCGCCGCGUGAGUGAUGACCGCCUUCGAGUGGUAAACCUCUUUCAGUAGAGAAGAAGCCAUAGUGACGGUACCUGCAGAGGAAGCACCGGCUAACUACGUG